rnacentral:misc_RNA from 1 species
UGGUGAACCAGCGGAGGGAUCAUUACCGAGUUUACAACUCCCAAACCCCUGUGAACAUACCUAUACGUUGCCUCGGCGGAUCAGCCCGCGCCCCGUAAAAAGGGACGGCCCGCCCGAGGACCCCUAAACUCUGUUUUUAGUGGAACUUCUGAGUAAAACAAACAAAUAAAUCAAAACUUUCAACAACGGAUCUCUUGGUUCUGG